rnacentral:misc_RNA from 1 species
GUAGGUGAACCUGCGGAAGGAUCAUUAACACGUUUAUUAAAACCAAACGUACCAAAACUCUGUGAACAGAGAUUGUGUGAACAAUCUCGCCCCCCUUUUUUUACCAAUUUUAUAACAAACCCCAAAAAACAAUUUAAAAGCAAGAAGGCUUUUAAUUUUGUCUUGUAACUAAAUUUUACUUAUUUUUCGAUAUUUCGAUAUCGAGAAAACUAAAAGAUGUCUCUUCCUUUCGAGGAAUCGGGACUUAAUCUUUUUAUGAACCAAAACGUUGUACAACUCUUAGCAACGGAUAUCUUGGUUCCC